UACGUAGGGACCGAGCGUUGUCCGGAAUCAUUGGGCGUAAAGAGCGUGUAGGCGGCUUGCUAAGUCUUGCGUGAAAUCUCGGGGCUCAACCCCGAGCGGUCGUGGGAAACUGGCAGGCUAGAGUGCGGGAGAGGAGAAUGGAAUUCCUGGUGUAGCGGUGAAAUGCGCAGAUAUCAGGAAGAACACCCGUGGCGAAGGCAGCUCGCUGGGACGUUACUGACGCUGAGACGCGAAAGCGUGGGGAGCAAACAGG
rnacentral:rRNA from 1 species